CAGCCCAGAAGCAUUAAAGAAUUAAUGUUCUAGAGAGCUAACAUUUGACCAAUGAGAAAUGGGAGCUAAUAGAUAUAAAUUCUCCUUCUUUUCUCCCCUGGAAGGACUGACUUAAGAAGCAACUGUAUUUGUGGUGUCUCAGAAGGUCUCGUGAGAUUAGGUAAACAACUGGCUUAUAGACAUUAGACAUAAUGACUGGCUUAUAGACAUUACCUGAAGACUCCUCAAAGAGGAAAUGAAUCCAUAUCCAUAAUGCUUUGAGGGACCCUAGGAUUUCAUCAAGUUGCUGCUGAGAUGAAGGAAACAUCACUUUCAGAAUGGAAGGACUCCUCCUCGGCUCAUCCUAUUAGUGUUGCCAUGGUCCAGAAAGUGGGUCUAACCCUCUAGCC